rnacentral:rRNA from 1 species
GACGAACGCUGGCGGCGUGCUUAACACAUGCUAGUCGAACGGAAAGGCCCUGCUUUUGUGGGGUGCUCGAGUGGCGAACGGGUGAGUAACACGUGAGUAACCUGCCCUUGACUUUGGGAUAACUUCAGGAAACUGGGGCUAAUACCGGAUAGGAGCUCCUGCUGCAUGGUGGGGGUUGGAAAGUUUCGGCGGUUGGGGAUGGACUCGCGGCUUAUCAGCAUGUUGGUGGGGUAGUGGCUUACCAAGGCUUUGACGGGUAGCCGGCCUGAGAGGGUGACCGGCCACAUUGGGACUGAGAUACGGCCCAGACUCCUACGGGAGGCAGCAGUGGGGAAUAUUGCACAAUGGGCGGAAGCCUGAUGCAGCAACGCCGCGUGCGGGAUGACGGCCUUCGGGUUGUAAACCGCUUUCGCCUGUGACGAAGCGUGAGUGACGGUAAUGGGUAAAGAAGCACCGGCUAACUACGUG